GAUGAAGAACGCAGCGAAAUGCGAUAAGUAAUGUGAAUUGCAGAGUUCAGUGAAUCAUCGAAUCUUUGAACGCACAUUGCGCCCGUCAGUAUUCUGACGGGCAUGCCUGUCCGAGCGUCAUUUCAACCCUCAAGCACUGCUUGGUGUUGGCGGAUUGCGUGCCCUCGCGGCGCUGCAACCGCCCAAAUACAGUGGCGGUCCCGCUGCGGCUCCCUUUGCGUAGUAACUCACCUCGCACUGGACCGGGCGGCGGCCUGCCGUAAAACCCCAACUCACGAAAUGUUGACCUCGGAUCAGGUAGGAAUACCCGCUGAACUUAAGCAUAUCAAUAAGCGGAGGA
rnacentral:misc_RNA from 1 species